rnacentral:rRNA from 1 species
AUAUGCCUACGGGGGGCAGCAGUCGGGAAUAUUGCGCAAUGGAGGAAACUCUGACGCAGUGAAGCCGCGUGAAGGAAGAAGUAUUUCGGUAUGUAAACUUCUAUCAGCAGGGAAGAAAAUGACGGUACCUGACUAAGAAGCCCCGGCUAACUACGUGCCAGCAGCCGCGGUAAUACGUAGGGGGCAAGCGUUAUCCGGAUUUACUGGGUGUAAAGGGAGCGUAGGCGGUUUAGCAAGUCAGAAGUGAAAGCCCGGGGCUCAACUCCGGGACUGCCUUUGAAACUGUUGAACUAGAUUGCAGGAGG